GUACUUAUCUGGCAGGCUAGAUACCAUGCUCACGAAGGUGAUUUUCCCAGGGCAAGGCUUAUCCAUGGCACUUGGGGUGUGCUGACCUCUGCGAUUUCCCCAAAUGUGGGAAACUCAGCUGCAUAAUUUGUGGUAGUGGGGGACUGCAUUUCUGCUUUCCCUUU